GCGGGGGGCUCGGCUGGGGCGCGCCAGGGGGCACGGGGCCAGCAGCAAGCUGGGGCCUGCUGACGAGGUUUUGCCUGUAAUUAGUGGUGGGGCAGGAGCCGCCCAAAGCUCACUCUCUGCAUUUUCACACGCACACCCCUUGUGCCCUUCCCGGCCCUGGGGGGAGAUUUCCCGGGGGGAUUUGGUUCCUUUUGGAGUUUCCCCAUCCCAAUAUGUUUCCCCCCUGGUCCCACAGUGUCCCCACAAUUUCAGUUGCCCCCUCCCUAUUUCUGGUCAAAGCUCCAACAUAGCACAUUCUGGGGAGGGCAUCACUUUACUUUUUUUUUAAGGGGGAGACGUUUUCCCAGAGUGUGGGAUGAGGUGACGGAGAGGGACAGAUACAUCUUCCCCCUCUCCUCCAGCUCUUCCCCAUCCAUUUAUGCAGAUUUCUCCCCAAAAUGUGACCUUACCUCUGAUUACUUCAUCCAAAAACCCAAUUCUCCCCAUUGUGCAGCACAGUGGGACAAAGACCCCUACUCCCUUUGCAGCCCCCACUGGAACUGCACUGCAUUUCUGCAAAGCUCGAGGGCUUCACACUUGUUUUCCUUUGUUCCUUUUUUGCAUCCCGACCCCAGGGAGAUGCUCUGCACCCCAAAUCCUGGAGGCAAAGCCAGGCAGCGGUGCAGCCCCAUAUCCUCCCAUUGCCCAUUGGUGCAGCCCCUCUCUGCUCCUCAUUGGCCCCACUUUGGGGACUCUGUUCACAGAACUGCAGGUCCUGAGUGGGGAGCUCUGCCUCCUAUUUUUUGGGGUGCUCAGAGAGGGAGUGCAGGGCUCUCCCUAUGGGGCAGUGGCUGGGCUCUGAGCUUUGGAAGUUGCCCACCAUUCUCCCUGCGUGGCACACAGGGCUCAUUCUGCACUGCAGCUGGAGCCGCUUUCCGAUGGCCACAAGGCACUCCACGCCAUCACCAAAAGAAAACAGUUGCCCUGAUGGAUGCCACCGACGGAGGGCUACGGUUCCCAGAAGAAGGUGUUGCCUGUGAGCAAGGAUAAGCGGGGAUCCUCGGUUUGAUGGCACCUUCAGACACCUCCG
rnacentral:lncRNA from 1 species